rnacentral:rRNA from 1 species
GACGAACGCUGGCGGCGCGCCUAACACAUGCAAGUCGAACGGAGCUUAGAGAGCUUGCUUUUUAAGCUUAGUGGCGAACGGGUGAAUAACGCGUGAGUAACCUGCCCUAGAGUGGGGGACAACAGUUGGAAACGACUGCUAAUACCGCAUAAGCCCACGGUACCGCAUGGCACUGAGGGAAAAGGAUUUAUUCGCUUUAGGAUGGACUCGCGUCCAAUUAGCUAGUUGGUGAGGUAACGGCCCACCAAGGCGACGAUUGGUAGCCGGACUGAGAGGUUGAACGGCCACAUUGGGACUGAGACACGGCCCAGACUCCUACGGGAGGCAGCAGUGGGGGAUAUUGCACAAUGGGGGAAACCCUGAUGCAGCGACGCCGCGUGGAGGAAGAAGGUUUUCGGAUUGUAAACUCCUGUCGUUAGGGACGAUAAUGACGGUAC